rnacentral:rRNA from 1 species
CCGCGAACGGGUGAGUAACACGUGGGUAAUCUGCCCCAAUGACCGGGACAACCCGAGGAAACUCGGGCUAAUACCGGAUGUGGUGCACAGGCAUAAGCCUGUGUACUAAAGGUAGCUUCGGCUUCCGCAUUGGGAGGGGCCCGCGGCCCAUUAGCUUGUUGGUGGGGUCAAGGCCUACCAAGGCAACGAUGGGUAGCUGGUCUGAGAGGACGAUCAGCCACACUGGGACUGAGACACGGCCCAGACUCC